AUGGAAAAAAAACGGCGGUGUUUUAAGGGAGAAACUCCCAGGAGAUCAGCGGUGCUCCCAGGUGAGCGUGCGUUGGGAUUUGGAGACCUCCCGGAGCCCCUCGAGCCGAGCCACGCUCCCUGGCUGCACUUUGGCUUUUCUGCUUCCACCGGUGCGCAGGAAACGGAGACAAGUGCGGGUGGAGGCAGCCCUCACCCGUCAGCCGAUCGUGUCCCAAUUUCAAACAGAUGUGUGGUUCCCGGCUGGAUUUGGGCAGAAAGCUCUCGCUUUCCCCCACAUUUGCCGGCCAUACCUAGCCAGGAGACGCUGGCUUUAAACCCCAGCGGCUGUUUCUCCUCUCGCUCCCAAGGUCCUGCCAAAUGGGUGAGGGAUAAAAUCCUGCACGGGCACACGGACAGCCCCAGCUGCCCCCCGUGCAAUCAUCGGAUGAAUCACGGAGCCCGAAUUCGUGCGGCUUUUGGGAAAAAACGGGCUCCUUCUGCAGAGCCACCAAGGCAGAUGUUGACCAGCGGCGUGGCUGGUCCCCGCAGCGCUGGCGUUGUCACCUCCCCGCGGUGCUGGCAUCGAUGGGGGUGUGCUGGGAGCCUGUCCCACCCUGGGUUUGCUUGGUGGCAUCCAGGGAAAGAGUCCUCCAGUCCCCGAUGGUGGGACACAGCACAGCGGGGUACAAUCCUGCACCGCUCCCCGCAGCUGGGGUUUUCUGCGAACCACGUUUGCAUCGCACCAGGUUCGGGAUCCAGCACGGGCCCAGCGCUGCCGCUUUUGGCCCCCAGCCCCUCAUGUGGAUGGGAGCACGGGGACCCAAUGGGCUCCUGGGGACAAUGGGCUCCUGGGGACAAUGGGAGCACGGGGACAGGCUCAGGGCACGGCGGCGUUGCGACACGGCCCAGCGAGGAUGAACAUCCCUCUUGCACAACCACAGCUGUCUCAUCUGCUUCCUGCUCCUCUGCCUGUCCGCUCCGGUCACCUUUCGUGGUACUUUGGGGGCUCGGAGCACCCCAGGAUAGGGGAGGACCCGUCUGCACCCAGGCAAGGGGACCCCAACUUGUAUCAGCGCCCCCGGGGGGCAGUCUGUGA
rnacentral:lncRNA from 1 species